rnacentral:rRNA from 1 species
GUGAGGAAUAUUGCGCAAUGGAGGCAACUCUGACGCAGCCAUGCCGCGUGCAGGAAGAAGGCGCUACGCGUUGUAAACUGCUUUUAACCGGGAAGAAACCCCAGGACGUGUCCUGGGUUGACGGUACCGGAGGAAUAAGCACCGGCUAACUUCGUGCCAGCAGCUGCGGUAAUACGAAGGGUGCAAGCGUUAUCCGGAUUCAUUGGGUUUAAAGGGUGCGUAGGCGGAGCGUUAAGUCAGUGGUGAAAUCCUGCAGCUUAACUGUAGACUUGCCAUUGAUACUGGCGCUCUUGAGUGCGCUUGAAGUGGGCGGAAUGUGCCGUGUAGCGGUGAAAUGCUUAGAUAUGGCACAGAACACCAAUUGCGAAGGCAGCUCACUAAGGCGAUACUGACGCUGAGGCACGAAAGCGUGGGGAUCGAACAGGAUUAGAUACCCUUGUAGUCC